AAUCCCCUAAGCUUCAGCCAGGUGCGACCGUACCACAAACCGACACAGGUGGGCGAGGAGAAGAUCCUCAGACGCGCGUGAGAACUCUGCGGAAGGAACUCGGCAAAUUGGCCCCGUAAGUUCGCGAUAAGGGGCGCCUAACCGCCGUAAGGCGGAAGGUCACAGAGAAGAGGUUCUGACGACUGUUUAUCAAAAACACAGCUCUCUGCUAACUCCGAAGAGGAUGUAUAGAGAGCGACGCUUGCCCAAUGCUGGAAGGUCAAGGGGACUGGUCAGACGCAAGUCAAAGCCGGGAACCUAAGCCCCAGUGAAUGGCGGCCCUAACUAUGAGGGUCCUAAGGUAGCGAAAUUCCUUGGCUGGUAAGUUCAGUCGCGCACGAAGAGCGGCACGAGUGGAGCACUGUCUCCCGCAGGGACACGGCGAAAUAGGAGUUGUUGUGAAGAUACAACAUACCCGCAGCUAGGCGGAAAGACCCUAUGCAGCUUUACUGUAAUCUGACACUGGGCCUUCGUAUUUGAUGCGUAGGAUAGGUGGGAGGCGUUGAUUCCAGGGUUUCGGCCCUGGAGGAGCCAUCGGUGAAAUACCACCCUUUAGGUAUGAAGGUUCUAACCUCACUCCGUAAUCCGGGUGUGGGACACUGUUUGAUGGACAGUUUGACUGGGGCGGUUUCCUCCCAAAAAGUAACGGAGGAGUUCAAAGGUACCCUCAGGGCGGUCGGCUAUCGCCCGUUGAGCGUAAAGGUAGAAGGGUGCUUGACUGUGAGACCAAUGCGUCGAACAGACUGGAAACAGGGACUUAGUGAUCCUGUGGAUCCGUGUGGAAGGGACAUAGCUUAUCGGAUAAAAGCUACGCUAGGGAUAACAGGCUGAUCCUGCCCAAGAGUCCAUAUCGACGGCAGGGUUUGGCACCUCGAUGUCGGCUCAUCGCAUCCUGGGGCUGAAGAAGGUCCCAAGGGUUGAGCUGUUCGCUCAUUAAAGCGGUACGCGAGCUGGGUUCAGAACGUCGUGAGACAGUUCGGUCCCUAUCUGAUGGGAGCGCAGGAAGCUUGAGCAGAUCUGAUUCUAGUACGAGAGGACCGAAUUGGACGAACCUCUAGUGUAUCUGUUGUGGUGCCAGCUGCAUCGCAGAGUAGCUAUGUUCGGAUGGGAUAAGCGCUGAAAGCAUCUAAGCACGAAACCCGCUGCAAGAUUAGGCUUCCCUUAUGGGUCGUUGUAGAUGACAACGUUGAUAGGUGACAGAUGUACGCAUGGUAACAUGUUUAGUCGAGUCAUACUAAUUACCCAUUAGACUUAACUAA
rnacentral:rRNA from 1 species